UUUAUAAUAGUCGUUCCAAGUCCCUUGAGGGCGUAUAACGUCAGUGACGGAAGAUGAAAGUGUGAACCGGUACAGGAAGUGGAAUGUUAAGGUUAUUUUAAGAAAGAUUAAUGUUUACAUUUGUAAACAAAGAAUCAACAUUGAUCGUUUUAUCUUCAUUUAUGUUAGACUUUAUUGUCAAAAUCUAUGUUAUUUAGAAUGUGUUACAUUGAGAACUUAUAUAGAGCAGGAGAUAGGUGUUGUGUCAGCCACUUGGAUAAGUAACUGAAUCCUAUUUGGAAAUUAUAGGUCUAAGUGGGCAGUCAUCUUUGUGGGUUUUAAAUAUUCCAUACUUUUAUGACAGAGAAGGAUUGAUCCCUUCAAAGAUUUUUUAAAAGAUCUGGAUAAUCAGAUAAAUGUUUUUGGAGAGACUUGUUGAAAUCAGACGUUUUCUUGGGUAAUGACUAAAGAUCUUCUUGUUCUAGGUCCAGUAGGUGGAAACUUCUGUACUGGAUUUGACUUAAAACUUUGCAA